AGUGGCGAACGGGUGAGUAACGCGUGGACAACCAACCUUAUAGUGGGGGACAACACUUCGAAAGGAGUGCUAAUACCGCAUACGCUCUUCUAAUCGCAUGGUCGGAAGAGGAAAGGGGCAACUGCUCCGCUAUAAGACGGGUCCGCGUCUGAUUAGCUAGUUGGAGGGGUAACGGCCCACCAAGGCAACGAUCAGUAGCCGGUCUGAGAGGAUGAACGGCCACACUGGGACUGAGACACGGCCCAGACUCCUACGGGAGGCAGCAGUGGGGAAUCUUCCGCAAUGGACGAAAGUCUGACGGAGCGACGCCGCGUGAGUGAAGAAGGCCUUCGGGUCGUAAAGCUCUGUCAUCAGGGACGAACGGCCGGUGGAGUGGAAAGCCACCGGAUUGACGGUACCUGAGAAGGAAGCCACGGCUAACUACGUGCCAGCAGCCGCGGUAAUACGUAGGUGGCAAGCGUUGUCCGGAAUUAUUGGGCGUAAAGCGCGCGCAGGUGGGAUCUUAAGUCCAUUUUUAAAGUUCGGAGUUCAACUCCGUGAUGGGAUGGAAACUGGGAUUCUUGAGUAUCGGAGAGGAAAGCGGAAUUCCCCGUGUAGCGGUGAAAUGCGUAGAUAUGGGGAGGAACACCAGUGGCGAAGGCGGCUUUCUGGACGAUGUCUGACACUGAGGCGCGAAAGCUAGGGGAGCGAACGGGAUUAGAUACCCCGGUAGUCCUAGCCGUAAACGAUGGGUACUAGGUGUGGG
rnacentral:rRNA from 1 species